CAGUAGGGAGGAAGGUAGUGUAGUUAACACCUGCAUUAUUUGACGUUACCUACAGAAGAAGCACCGGCUAACUCCGUGCCAGCAGCCGCGGUAAUACGGAGGGUGCGAGCGUUAAUCGGAAUUACUGGGCGUAAAGCGCAUGCAGGCGGCCUGUUAAGUCAGAUGUGAAAGACCCGGGGCGUUAACCUCGGAAUUGCAUUUGUAAACUAGGCAGGCUAGAGUCUUGUAGAGGGGGGUAGGGAAUUUACUAGGUGUAGCGGUGAAAUAGCGUAGAGAUCUGAAGGAAUACCAGUGGCGAAGGCGGCCCCCCUGGACAAAGACUGACGCUCAGAUGCGAAAGCGUGGGGAGCAAACAGGAUUAGAUACCCUGGUAG
rnacentral:rRNA from 1 species